rnacentral:lncRNA from 1 species
AUAAUUUAUUCGGUUUCUGCCCAGGCCUAACACAACGUGGUUGCAGGUUGAGUCAAAGCACUCUCUGGUCAAAGUUACUCUAUCUUUGCCUGAGUGACACUCUCUCGUACUGUCUCGUAGUAGUAAAUGUAGUACAGUGGAGACCACAUAUAACAGGCCCGGUAAUAACAGGGAUCCGAUGCCCGGGUGCACUGCUUGGAAGUGUUCUAGGCGAAGAACACCGAGGAAAGGAAGAAAGGCUAUACUUUUCACAAGUUCCCACUUGGAGAUCCAGACAGAUCAAAGAGGUGGUUGGCAAGCCUGAGGAGGGAAGGAUUUUCAGCCCACCAGGAAUACAGUGAUUUGCUAUGCUCACUUCGAUGACAAGUGCUUUGACAGAACAGACCAGACUGUUCGAUUGAGACCUGAUGCUGCGCCCACCCUGUUCGAUUUUCCACCCCAUCUCCAGAAGACACCUGUACUGUAACGCCAAGGCGUCAUGCUGAACGCAGAACCGUGGCUCAGCCAGAAACUACUCCCAGUGCUGAUCAAGAGGAGGCUGGAGAGAGUGUGGGUCCAUCUUCAGUCAUCAGUGACGACCACAGUUAUGCGACUGUAUGUGUAUGUGCUCAUUUUGUAACGAUGUGUAAGCGUGCGCGUGUGAUAUAAGCAAAUAGACGUUGGUGCGUUGGUGUGUGUGUCGCGUGCGUGAAUAUUGUUCAUACAUGCAUUUAUGCGUGCUGAAAAACUUGGCGAUACUCGCUGUGGCUCUCAUUGUGUGUGUGUGGCGUGCGUGAAUAUUGUUCGUACAUGCAUUUAUAUAAGCGCCUAGAGCUGUGUUUA